GGUCCACAGAUUAGUUGAGUGUUG
rnacentral:siRNA from 1 species